UGUACUAAGUUGUUGUUGACCUUUGCUUUUAAGUAUAGACAAUUGUUUUUCCCAAAUCAAACCGGUAUUAUUCGUGAUGUGAUAUUUAUAAGAUUAAUGGAUUCAUAAGUGUAUUUCUCUUGAUAAGUGAUAAAUCUUAUUUGACUAAUUUUUGUUGUGGCAAUCAGAGAACAAUUCCUGUGGUAAAUAGUAAACUAACCACUUGAGGAAUCAAGGAUCAAAAAGAAUGGGACGUAAUUAUGCUCAAUUGUGAAUUUUACUCUCUAUGACUUCGUUCAAUUUUUGUUUUGUUUGAUGAUCAUUUGAUUUUUUUCACUUUGUUGCAGGAAUGACCAUUAUCUUUGUCGCUGAUAGACAAAUCUUUAACUAAAUUUUAAUCAUUGUUAUUUUGUUUUCAGGGAGGACUCAUGAUGAGAUUGACAAAGAUACUAGCAACUGUCGCUGAUUUGGUGGUCUCCUUAUGUGAGACACUGGGUGUUUCUUCCUCUAUGAAGUGUUUGGCUGAGACACCAAAGAAAAAAAGAACAAAUAUGACUGAGAUGUUGGGUGCUAACCAUUACUCCAUCAAAGUGGCCCAGUGGAUGCUUCAAACUUCUGGGGCAACCAGUUACAUGAAUCCAUUGGAGAGGACAAAUACAGAGAGGGAAUGAAGGAUGCUACAGUAGCUGGUGUCAAUGUCCAAUAUUAUGAAAGAUGAGUCAACACCUACCAGAACUUGUGGUGUCUAUGUUUUUGGUGGAGAAAGGUUGCUCAUUCCAAAUCUUUCUGCUGCAAUCUGCCUCAAGGUUGAACACCUGCAAAGAGUUUAGUUUAUGUGAUUUGAUAAUUUGCUUUUUUCUUUCAAUAGCCGGCCAAAUGACUGCAGGAUCAUCGGUCUUCUCUACCUCAAUUCACCAUUUCGGACUUUAUACAGAAGGUUUUUCCGUACCAGCUUCUUCUACCCCUCUCCUCAUCAACAAGUGGAAGAGUCACGUCAGUGCCUAAAGGUCAGUUUGAAACUCCGAGACUGCAGCUCCAGCAGAAUCCUUCCUUGGUUCAGAUUUCUUCCCUGCCUUGGGAUGCCGGUUAGGGAUUAGAGGAAUGGGAGAGGUAAGCCAAUCUGCUGAGAUUUAGUGAAACAUGUUUCUUUUUUGGUAAUUGGGAAGGCCAAUUUCUACAACAUUGAUUCUUCCUCACGGUACGG